UCCGAAAGCGACUGACCAUGUUCAAACGACCAUCCACCCACUACGGCAAAUCCCCGCAACCAGAGACGCCCUACCAGCGCGCGGCGCAGAUCUGGGACGAUCGGAUCGGAUCAGCCCGCGUGCAGGCCCGCAACUNNAUGGCGUUCGGCUCAUUGGGGCUUGCCGCUGGCCUCUCCGCCGCACUUGUCUGGCAGUCCGCCAAC
rnacentral:misc_RNA from 1 species